CUUGUUCGGCUUUUUCCUCCCCCGAGGUGAGGCUUUGCAUGCCUUGGUUUGGCUUCUUUCUUCACGCAGGACUCUCUUAUCUGAGUUCAUGGUUCCUGAACGGAGGCCUCCUUCAUACAGGAGCUUUCUUAUCUCAGCCCAUGGUUCCUCUGUGAAUGCACCCCUGAGUUAUUUCUUUACCUUUGGCAUAGUUUGGAAGUUAAUCGUUGCCACGGGUCAAUAAGGAGAUCCCGAUUAUCUGUGCUGGUUUCCUUUGUCAGCAGCAGCUGCACAGACCUGAUGGCAGAGCUGUUGUUUGACCAAGGUGGCCUUUUCAGACACAGCAGUCGUGGGUUGGACCUUCAGGAGGUCGCCGUGUCCAACCCCACGCUCGGAGGAAGGCCACCGUCAGCAGGUUGGUCAGGACACUGCCCAGCUGUGGGCACAUCCAAGGAUGGAGGCUCUGCAGCCUCUCUGGGCAACCUGUGCCAGUGUUUGGUCGCUCUUCCAAUGAGAGGAGUUUUUUCCUUAUGCUUAAAGUGAACCCCAGGCUUUCAGUCUGCUCCCAUCACCUCGUGGCAUCUCAGGGGUGCCCCGUGGCAGGACUGGCUCAGCCUCCAUCCCGUCGGGUGUUUGUAGCUGGGGAUGAGAGCUGCUCUGUCCUCCAGGCAGUGAUCCCAGUGCACUCAGCCAAGGAUCCCUCACCGCUUAACUUUCCCAGCCCUCCUCUGGUAGAUCCACGUCUCGCUCAUACUGAAGAAACCAGAAUCAAUGAGGGUCAUUUUCUUGAGGCAGUGCUUGACUUUGCCUCGUUCGUGUCCCACAGGGAUGCUUGCAAAGCUUGCUUGCUGGACUUCCCUUUUCCGAGGGUGCUUUGCAAAGGCCGUAUUGCUGAUGUGCAGCUCCCAUUUCAGCUGAUCUCAGGGCUGUUCCUCACUUCCCCAUAAAACAAGUCAGGCUCUUUGCUUCCAGCUGCUCCCCCCCCUCCCUGCCCAGCACAUCACUGCUCACAGGAA